AGAGCCUGGCGAGUGCGCCAUGGAUGUGAAUCGGUUCGUCGUAGCCCUGCUGGCGUAUGAGCGCGAUGAGGC
rnacentral:sRNA from 1 species